UUAAAGCUUAGAUAUUACUCGAUAAACGGAACUUACAGAAUCGGCCAGAGAUUGUGUCGAUGCAGCCCUGCCAACCCGUACGAACUCGUGAAAGAAAAAGAUGUAUUGGCGAAGUCGCCGACUUGAAAGUAAAGUACGAUGAAAAAGUAGAUUGUUUGUAUUGAUUGAUGUGUUGUUUACAAAUCUCUAAAGAUAGCUAUUUAUAGCUUGUUACAACUGAUUUCCUAACCAACUAGGAUCUAUCUCUAAUUUUAAACGAAAACGAAUAUUUACAAACACAACUCGUAUCGGAGUUGGUUAUCAUACUCCUACGGGCCAAUCUUUCUCUAUCUUCUUUUUCUGGCCCACCUUAAGCCCAUAUCGGCCCAAUCGCUCCAGCCUUCCAAUCGGCCAACCUCCACCAACUCUGUCUGCCAAUCGCUUGAAACACUAUAGCACCAAUCAGCCAAUUCCCAACUGUAGCACCAAUCGGCUGAUUCCCAAUCGUAACCUUUAAAUCCGCCGCAUCGGCCAAUCCUUC
rnacentral:lncRNA from 1 species